CACAGUGGUAUCUGGGAUUAU
rnacentral:miRNA from 1 species